GCUUAACACAUGCAAGUCGAGGGGCAGCAUUUUAGUUUGCUUGCAAACUGAAGAUGGCGACCGGCGCACGGGUGAGUAACACGUAUCCAACCUGCCGAUAACUCCGGGAUAGCCUUUCGAAAGAAAGAUUAAUACCGGAUAGUAUACGAAUAUCGCAUGAUAUUUUUAUUAAAGAAUUUCGGUUAUCGAUGGGGAUGCGUUCCAUUAGUUUGUUGGCGGGGUAACGGCCCACCAAGACUACGAUGGAUAGGGGUUCUGAGAGGAAGGUCCCCCACAUUGGAACUGAGACACGGUCCAAACUCCUACGGGAGGCAGCAGUGAGGAAUAUUGGUCAAUGGGCGCGAGCCUGAACCAGCCAAGUAGCGUGAAGGAUGAAGGCUCUAUGGGUCGUAAACUUCUUUUAUAUGGGAAUAAAGUUUUCCACGUGUGGAAUUUUGUAUGUACCAUAUGAAUAAGGAUCGGCUAACUCCGUGCCAGCAGCCGCGGUAAUACGGAGGAUCCGAGCGUUAUCCGGAUUUAUUGGGUUUAAAGGGAGCGUAGGUGGAUUGUUAAGUCAGUUGUGAAAGUUUGCGGCUCAACCGUAAAAUUGCAGUUGAAACUGGCAGUCUUGAGUACAGUAGAGGUGGGCGGAAUUCGUGGUGUAGCGGUGAAUGCUUAGAUAUCACGAAGAACUCCGA
rnacentral:rRNA from 1 species